rnacentral:rRNA from 1 species
UACGUAGGCAGCGAGCGUUGUUCGGAGUUACUGGGCGUAAAGGGUGUGUAGGCGGUUGUUUAAGUUUGGUGUGAAAUCUCCCGGCUCAACUGGGAGGGUGCGCCGAAUACUGAAUGACUUGGAGUGCGGGAGAGGAGAGUGGAAUUCCUGGUGUAGCGGUGAAAUGCGUAGAUAUCGGGAGGAACACCUGUGGCGAAAGCGGCUCACUGGACCAUAACUGACGCUGAUGCACGAAAGCUGGGGGAGCAAACAGG